rnacentral:misc_RNA from 1 species
GAAAUGCGAUAAUUAAUGUGAAUUGCAGAAUUCAGUGAAACAUCGAGUCUUUGAACGCACAUUGCGCCCCCUGGUAUUCCGGGGGGCAUGCCUGUCCGAGCGUCAUUGCUGCCCUCAAGCACGGCUUGUGUGUUGGGCUUCCGUCCCUGGCAACGGGGACGGGCCCAAAAGGCAGUGGCGGCACCAUGUCUGGUCCUCGAGCGUAUGGGGCUUUGUCACCCGCUCCCGUAGGUCCAGCUGGCAGCUAGCCUCGCAACCAAUCUUUUUAACCAGGUUGACCUCGGAUCAGGUAGGGAUACCCGCUGAACUUAAGC